UGAUAAUAAUGGAUAGCAUUUAUGUAGUGCAUACCAUGUGCCAGAAACUGUACCUUUACAAUAUCUCAUUGGAUUUUCACAACAUUCACAACAUUGAUUAUCACAACAACCUUUGGAGGUAGUUGCUAUUAUUAUCUCCAUUUUAUAGAUGAAGAAAUUGGGGCCAUCAGAGGCAAAAUGUCACUCUAGGCCAAAUAGCAAGUAAGUGUCUGGGGCUAGAUUUGAACUCAGCUCUUCCUGAUUCUAGGCCUAGGGCUCUAUCCAUUGUGCAACCUAGCUGCUUCAAUAUUUCCCUUUAUGUAGUUCAUAUUCCAGUCAAACUGGGCCACUAGCUCUUCUGAGAAUUCAGGGUCCCAUCUGUGGCUUCAAUGCAGUCCUACACCCAAUGACUAGAAUACACUUCCUUGUUGAAGGCUCACUUCAGUUUUCAUCUCUAUGAAGCACUCACUCCCUGAUCCCUGAAGGGGAAAACUUUCCCUCCUUAAACAUUUUUUAGAACAUUUUGUUCUGAUACACUCUACCUAGUACCAUGUCUGUUUGUGAAUAUAUCACAUACCCACAAUAGGACUACAAUCCUUUAAGGACAGAAGUUCAUUUUUUUCCUUUAUCUUUAUGAAAUAGGAUGUUCAAUAAAUGCUUCUUGAAAUAACUGGCUACAUUUAACAAUUUGGGCAUCUUGCAAAAAAUUGCAAGAUAUCUCUGCCUGUCUGUCUAUCUAUUUGUCUGUCUAUCUAUCUAUCUAUCUAUCUAUCUAUCUAUCUAUCCAUCAUCCAUCCAUCCAUUUAUCUAUCUAUCUAUCUAUCUAUCUAUCUAUCUAUCUAUCUAUUGUUGUCUGUAUACCUGUCUAUUUGUCUGUCUUGUCUAUAUAUCUGUCUACCUGUUUACCUUUCUGUCUAUCUAUCUAUCUAUCUAUCUAUCUAUCUAUCUAUCUCUCUAUCGCUGUCUGUCUACCUGUCUGUCUGUCUGUCUACCUGUCUGUCUGUCUGUCUACCUGUUUGUCUACCUGUUUGUCUACCUGUCUGUUUAUCUAUCUAUCUAUCUAUCUAUCUAUCUAUCUAUCUAUCUAUCUAUCUAUCUAUCUAUCUAUCUAUCUCCAAUGUACAUACACAGAAGCCAGGACUACCCCAUUCACUUUCCAUUUGGUUGUACUCAUAACAAUUACUCAUGUAGUAGGACAUCUAGGCUUUGGAAGGUCAAAUGAGCACAUGGUCACAUAA
rnacentral:lncRNA from 1 species